rnacentral:rRNA from 1 species
UACGUAAGCAGCGAGCGUUGUUCGGAGUUACUGGGCGUAAAGAGUGCGUAGGCGGUUUUCUAAGUUUGGUGUGAAAUCUCCCGGCUUAACUGGGAGGGUGCGCCGAAAACUGGAAGGCUUGAGUAUGGGAGAGGUAAGCGGAAUUCCUGGUGUAGCGGUGAAAUGCGUAGAUAUCAGGAGGAACACCUGCGGUGUAGACGGCUUACUGGACCAUAACUGACGCUGAGGCACGAAAGCGUGGGUAGCAAACAGG